GCAACCGGCAAUAAAACGUUGAAUGCACCAGUUCCAAAUGGACCAUUGUGGUUGAGCAACGUUGCGCGUGGUUGGUAUCUGGACGGGUGACCGUCUGGGUAAUCACGUGCUGCUGGGU
rfam:Asian citrus Psyllid, Diaphorina citri - Florida Strain, whole genome shotgun sequence.